AUGAGCUGUUCAUUCGGUGUUUAAAACAAACAUUCCGUUAAUUAAACCCAGAAAAAUGGCGCCAGUUUAACUGUCGUGACGGCUGUGAGGUGAAAAACGUACAAACAUGCAAUGGAAAAGUAUCUUUCAGCUGCCACUGUUUGACAACGUGAAAACGAAGGACUUCUUCACAACGAAGAAACUCAUUGAAUUGACGCCUACAUCUGCACCCAUGUGUCCAUUUGUCU